rnacentral:rRNA from 1 species
CAGUCGCCGCGGUAAUACAGAGGGUGCGAGCGUUAAUCGGAUUUACUGGGCGUAAAGCGUGCGUAGGCGGCUUUUUAAGUCGGAUGUGAAAUCCCUGAGCUUAACUUAGGAAUUGCAUUCGAUACUGGGAAGCUAGAGUAUGGGAGAGGAUGGUAGAAUUCCAGGUGUAGCGGUGAAAUGCGUUGAGAUCUGGAGGAAUACCGAUGGCGAAGGCAGCCAUCUGGCCUAAUACUGACGCUGAGGUACGAAAGCAUGGGGAGCAAACAGGAUUAGAUACCCCAGUAGUCCCUGUCUCUUAUAC